UGCACCUACGGGACGCAGCAGUGAGGAAUAUUGGUCAAUGGGCUUACGCCUGAACCAGCCAAGUCGCGUGAGGGAAGACUGCCCCAUGGGUUGUAAACCUCUUUUGUCAGGGAGCAACGCCGGCUACGUGUAGCCGGACUGAGAGUACCUGAAGAAAAAGCAUCGGCUAACUCCGUGCCAGCAGCCGCGGUAAUACGGAGGAUGCGAGCGUUAUCCGGAUUUAUUGGGUUUAAAGGGUGCGUAGGCGGAAUGCUAAGUCAGCGGUAAAAUCGUGGGGUCCAACCCCAUCCCGCC
rnacentral:rRNA from 1 species